rnacentral:tRNA from 1 species
GGAAAGCAGGGUGAAGUUGUGCUGCCAGAAACUUGAAAACCGGCGAAGGGUUAAACCUUCCGUGGGUUCGAAUCCCACUCUCUCCGCCA